GACGAACGCUGGCGGCGUGCCUAAUACAUGCAAGUCGAACGCAGUGGGGACGGGAGAGUAACCCGUGGGGAACCUCCCAUCAGAGGGGAUAACACUUGGAAACAGGUGCUAAACCGAUACUGCUGGAUGGAACCGCGGUGCAUUAGCGAGUUGGUGAGGUAACGGCUCACCAAGGCCACGAUGCAUAGCCUACCUCACAUGGGAAUGUGCCAGACGGGGACGUAGACACGGCCCAGAUUCCUACGGGAGGCAGCAGUAGUGAAUCUUCGGUAAUGGACGAAAGUCUGACCGAGCAACGCCGCGUGAUGGAAGAAGGUUUUCGGAUCGUAAAACUCUUUUGUUAGAGAAGCGGGAUCUAACCAGAAAGCCACGGCUAACUACGUGCCAGCAGCCGCGGUAAUAC
rnacentral:rRNA from 1 species